CUUGUGAGGCAGGUGGGGUGACACUGAGCGAAAUCCCCGUCCCCACAAUCUUAUUAGUUAACUAUAGUUUUGUCCCACCUUAUACCCAUCUCAUUUCUUACCCACCUCUUGAUUUUGAUCUAUAAAGCCUCCCCUGUAAGCAGAGUCCGUGGCAACCUACUUUCUGGGUCUCCUCCUGUCACUCUCAGGUAGGAACUCUCUAUUCCUCAAUAAAUAUUUCCUACUCUUAACCUGUAUUUCCUAAAAUUCAUUCUUCGAUUUUAGAAAACACGACCUCGGCAUAUCAGACAUCUAACAGGUUGGGAGUUACAUUUGUUUCUCCUAUAUCAUACCAGAAUCAGUACUACUGUAGAACUAACAACCAUUGAAUCUAAGCUGGCAGAGACCUUAAAGGGCACUUCAGUGAUUUCUGGAGUCUUCUUAUGAAAAGUUGUAACAAGAAUGGAAGAACUAUUUUAGAUUAAUCUCAAAAUAGGAAAAAUUAAGGAUAGCUUUGAAAAACAUUUGAAGACAAAAAAAAUCCCCUACAUGUUAAUGGGAAAAAAUGUAAAGGUUUAAAAGAUGUUGGGCAUACUUCAUUUGACAGAUGGGAAAACUAAGGCAGCGACAGAGGGCUUGCAGAAAAGGUCUCAGUGGCUGCUGAAGGGGACUUACAGGCUGAGCAAAAACCUUGUGGAGCGCCAGUGUCGAGAGCCCCAGACCAGGCCAGCAGCCCUUCCACCCUAAGGGCCAAAGCCUAGCCUUCACACUCGGAGGGCGGCCCCUGAGGACACCGCCCUCGCCACUCUCUCUGGUCCCCAAUAGGAGAAGGAGAGCUAGUCAGGGUGGGCGGGCCAGGUCCGCCUCCACGGCUACCGCCCAGAACAGGGCGGACUCAGCCACCGCCUUCCAGUAGAGUACGGACGAACUAGGCUCGGCUAAGGCGAAAGGAUGACAUGUACGUCAAUCAGAAGGCUCCACCAAUAGGGUCUCGCGCUUUUCGCGGCGUCCGCCCCCGCCUCAGCCUCCUGGCUCCCGCGUUGCCUUGCCCCUGGCCGCCGCGGCGGCGCCCGCCCGCGCCUGCAUCCGGGUCUUGGCGCGCUGCUCUCCGUGCGUGGCGGCCAGCGGCAGCAGGCGUGAGGGACGUGCCAUCUUUGCGGCGGUGACAGCGGCAAGGGUCGGUCUUUGCGAGUCUGAGGGAACCGGGAUUACUGAGGAGAAGGCCUUCCUGUGGUACUCAGCUGUUUUUCCUUUUUCACAUUCAUCCUUGAAGUUCUCUUCACUGUGGGAUGAGGUAGUAGGUUGUAUAGUUUUAGGGUCACACCCACCACUGGGAGAUAACUAUACAAUCUACUGUCUUUCCUAAGGUGAUGGAAAAGUCUACAUCCAGGCAGCCUUAUGGAAAGUUAGUAACUGUUCGGUGUUUAAGAUAAACUUGUUAAAAAGGCUUUUGCUUACAGUAUGCAAGUUGUUUUAGAGACUAAAAAAAAAAUCUUCAGGUACACUGAAUGGGAGUUAGGGAUACUUUCUGCUUAUUGUCUUCAUUUUUGUGGAGUUUUUUAAAUUGAUGUUGAAGGUUUGAGGUUAAAAUUUACUUUCGUUGAAAUUUUCUUUUGAGAUUGUGUUUUCCAUUAUUCCAGAAGAAAAGAUUGCUCUAUCAGAGUGAGGUAGUAGAUUGUAUAGUUGUGGGGUAGUGAUUUUACCCUGGUCAGGAGAUAACUAUACAAUCUAUUGCCUUCCCUGAGGAGUAGACUUGCUGCAUUAUUUUGAUUUUUAUCUAGGUGAUAAUUAAAAUUCAGAUGAAUUCAUUUUGACAUUCUUUUGUGUUUACAGUUAUUAGUUGUUAAGUUUCUCUCCAAGUAGAAUGCAGUAAAAACUGAUCUUAAGUUUUAAUUUUCACAUGUGGUGUAUAUAUAUAUUUCAGAAAUUUGAAAAUUAAAGCAAAAAUUUUGGAGAAAGUAAGUACCUUUCAGGAAAUAUUAGUAGAAGACUAGGCCCUUUUGGAAUUAUGAACCGGUGCACUGCCAUAUAUUCUGAUAGCACAUGUCCAGGGUGACAUCUUGGGUAGUAAAGGUACAUACCAACUGGAAGGUCACUGUUUCAGCUAAAUUUGAGUCCAGUUGAUUAUCCAUUCCUACCAUGGUUUUGAGUGGUAUCAGAGAAUGCCGGAAGCACUGCUUCAUUGGUGUGCAGAUUUGGGCAGGCUUUACUUGCCAGCCUGGAGCAGGUGAGGUAAGCUGUGGGUUUUACUUUUGCUCACUGGUAAGUUGCUAAGAAAACUUAAAAGUGGUCCUUCACAAAGGAGGAUCCCCUGAAACUAACACAUGAAAUGCAUUAUCUAUUCCUUUAAAUAUGAGAUGAGUCUACUUAAAUUUUAGCAACCAUGAAGGCCCGUGUUUCAGCUUUCUUUCAGUGCUCAAACCAUAUAGACGCUAUAGCUAAACAAGGGCGAAAGCUCCCUAUUUAAAGUGCUUGUUUAAACUACAUAUUUUGGAUGCAAGAGAAAAGAGGCAAAAUGUGGAGGUAAAGGAAAAGUCACCUCUUCCAUUUAUUUCUGAAUCUUAAAUAUCUCAGAGUCACAGUGUAAUGCCAUUGGCAGCAGAAAUUUUACAGAAAACACAAAACUCGCUUGGAUAGGUCUAACUUAGAUUAUUUAUCCUGGGCCAGAUUUUUUUUUUUUUUUACUUCAACCUUGACAUAAUAGAGGAAGAAUUGGUGGUCCUAAAUUGGAUGUAUAAACACUGGGGAAAACUUGACAUUCAUUGUCUUUUGGUGUGAAAGAAGAACAGAAAUGUGUGGGGAAUUCUUUGGCAGUAUGCAUAACUCACCUGAAAAGUCUUGGUAUUUUGUGUUUUUUCUGAACAUGUCUCCUAAACAUGGUUAUUUUCUACUCUCCACUAGGAAACUUAUAUGGAAAAAGUUUAUUUCGGGCCGGGGAUUUAGCCCAGUGGUUCCGUCGCCUGCCUUGCAAGCGCAAGGAGACCCUAGUUGGAUCCCCGGUACCAAAAAAAAAAAAGAAAAAGUUUAUUUCAUCUAUUAACAUAAGGGCUACUUGCUAGCCAAAUAGACUGAGUGGAUCAAAUUGUGUGGAACUUAACAUUUUAUGAAAAUACAUAUAAGAUAAUUAAGGAGAACGUAAUAGUCUCUAAAAAGCUUGUUUUUAAUAGUGACAAAAUUGUGAUCAGAAUUUGAUUUUGUUUUCUAUAAACUAAGGGUGAAAUUUUGAAAUACUUUAACAGGCCGAAGAACUGAAUGUAACCCCGAAACAUUUGACCCUAAAAUGGGACAGACAUUAAGUUUAAUUUGUUCCAGUUGAUAAGUAGCAAACAGGAUUUAUAUAUAGUUUCAGCUAACUUUCCAGUUUUAUCAAGAGGCUGGAGAUUUUAUGAAAUCUCGCAUUUGAGUUUUGGUAAUUAAAUGUUUUAAACAAAACUAGUAGUUGGUGGGCUGAGUAUUAUGUUACUGGUUUGCAUCCUCUGAUAUAAUUACUUUCUUGUCCCUUUGUAACUUGAGGUUUUUAAGAAAAUAUUUUUGAGGCUUUAUGCCAAGGUCAUAUAGCAAAUAGCUUUGAAAGCAUCAGCGAAAGUUCUGACUAGUUGAAUUUGAAACAAAACUCAAAUAUGGCCUAACUUAACAGGUUAUUUUGAAGUGAA